AGAGGGUGAACGGCCACACUGGGACUGAGACACGGCCCAGACUCCUACGGGAGGCAGCAGUAGGGAAUCUUCCGCAAUGGACGAAAGUCUGACGGAGCAACGCCGCGUGAGUGAUGAAGGUUUUCGGAUCGUAAAGCUCUGUUGCCAGGGAAGAACGUCCUCUAGAGUAACUGCUAGGGGAGUGACGGUACCUGAGAAGAAAGCCCCGGCUAACUACGUGCCAGCAGCCGCGGUAAUACGUAGGGGGCAAGCGUUGUCCGGAAUUAUUGGGCGUAAAGCGCGCGCAGGCGGCUGUUUAAGUCUGGUGUUUAAUCCUGGGGCUCAACUCCGGGUCGCACUGGAAACUGGGCAGCUUGAGUGCAGAAGAGGAGAGUGGAAUUCCACGUGUAGCGGUGAAAUGCGUAGAGAUGUGGAGGAACACCAGUGGCGAAGGCGACUCUCUGGGCUGUAACUGACGCUGAGG
rnacentral:rRNA from 1 species